UACGGAGGGGGCUAGCGUUGUUCGGAAUUACUGGGCGUAAAGCGCACGUAGGCGGCUUUUGUAAGUUAGAGGUGAAAGCCCAGGGCUUAACCCUGGAAUUGCCUUUAAGACUGCAUCGCUAGAAUCGUGGAGAGGUGAGUGGAAAUUCCGAGUGUAGAGGUGAAAAUUCGUAGAUAUUCGGAAGAACACCAGUGGGCGAAGGCGACUCACUGGACACGUAUUUUGACGCUGAGGUGCGAAAAGCGUGGGAGCAAACAGG
rnacentral:rRNA from 1 species